rnacentral:lncRNA from 10 species
CUGAGAUCAGGCACAGCCAUCAACAGUGGCUGCAUGCCUCUCAUGCUUCUGAGUUACGUUUGUCCUGCUUCUGAGAAGAUCAGCCACUUCAGAAUGAACCAAUUAAUACAAUCGCUAGGUGCCCUCCUGUAGUACCUCUGUGAGGUUUGAAGGACUUGCCCUGAUGAACCUCCACUUCCCUGUAAUUCCCUAUAAGAUCUGCAGCACAAAGCUGUGAAGGUGCUGGUCAGGGGUGGAAUGCAACUGAUGCUGUCACCAGACUCUAAUCCCAAUAUCUCCCAGAUAUUCCACAGAUACCACAUUCUAACCAGAAUAAUCUGCAUCAUCUAAAGGGUUUAUGAUAUGUGGCUGUGGGACUGGACCAAUAUGAGCCCACAGAAGCCUGCAUACUUGGAACCACUUGGUGGGAUCAAUGUCAUUAGGAGACACAACUAUAAAUGCUGUCAUUCAACCCAGCUUGAAUGAAUAACAAAGAACAUGCUCCAGGAGGAUAAAGAACAGAGCAUCUCCUUGGUUUGUGCAGGCUUCCCACUGCAGCUGCCAUGCAGCAGAAACUGAAUGAUUCCAUAAAGUCAAGAAAUAACCAUGAUGGCUCUUCGUAAGCGUAAGCUUGGCUUCCACAUUAAGGACUCAGAAAUUUCUAACACUUUACAAGAGGGAGGAGUGAACAGCAAGUGGUUUGGAAAUCACAAAUUUGUAGGAGCUCAGCAAGUGCUACUUAGGUCUAAGGGACACAGGGCAGGUUUGGAUUAAGAAAUGACACCAGUUUGGGGCCGGGCGCAGUGGCUCACGCCUGUAAUCCCAGCACUUUGGGAGGCCGAGGCAGGCGGAUCAUGAGGUCAGGAGAUCGAGACCAUCCUGGCUAACAUGGUGAAACCCCAUCUCUACUAAAAAUACAAAAACAAAGUUAGCCAGGCAUGGUGGCAGGCACCUGUAUUCCCAGCUACUCUCAAGACUGAGGCAGGAGAAUGGCAUGAACCGGGGAGGCAGAGGUUGCAGUGAGCCGAGAUCGCACCACUGCGCUCCAGCCUGGGCGACAGAGAAAGACUCCGUCUCAAAAAAAAAAAAAAAAGAAAGAAAGAAAUUAAAAAAAGAAAUGACACCAGUUUUGGCCAAAAAGUUCUUAAAAUGAGACUUCACAUUUUACAGAAAUAACAAUAAUAACUAAAGAAAAAAAAUCCUUUACCCUAUAGAUUAAAUCUGUUUUCUUUGCUUGUGCAACCCACUUAUUUUCAUGUGGAACCUGGACAUCUGAACUAGAAACAACAGCACCAGUCAGGGUUCAGUGGGAGACUAGUGGUACCUGUGAGAGGGAAAACUGAGCUGAGGUCAAGAAAUUGACUAUCUACAAAGAUGCGUGGGAUUAAGGGAAAUUAGUAAAGGAUGAUGAGAUGCCCAGGAACUAGCAACAGUCGGAAGCCAUUACCUAUGUUUCCUAGGUAACCUGGAAGGAGUUCCCAGAAUCUGGAAAGAAUGUAACAGCAGGGGAGCAUUGUUCAACAGGGGCUGUGCCUUCGGUAGAAGAAUGGAGCCACAGCCCCCCAUAGCCCACAGGAAGCUGGGGGGAGAAAGUCCCAACCUCACUCUCCUCCCGCCUCCAGUCUCCUCCCUUGGCCAAACCCAACAGAGGUCAGAGAUCAAAGGAGCCUAUUGAUGCAGAUCCUCAACCUUCUGGAGCACAGAGGAUGGUGGAGAGGGAGGAAAGGGGAUCUAAAGGGACAAGUGUAGAAUAUCCAGUGCAACAGCUUUUGAUUAGAAAAGAAAGUCAUAUUCCUUUGCUUAAUAUCCAAAUCACAGCAACUCUGAGCCCCUACCUCCCACAAAUUAGUCUUUUGCCCUCAAGCCCUGAAGAGGGUGUUGCACCCAACUUCCCUUACUGAUAGAACACAAGCCCCAGACCCUCACCUGCCACUGGCUUUUGGCAGGAUCUGUGACACUAAAAUUACAUCCGCUCUUUUCUAAUCCUAGCUAAUAUGGGCUAAGAGAGGACAGUCUUAGGAUUCUGGGAACUUCCUGUCCAGCUGAUUCACAAAAGUCACAGACCAGCUGUCUUCUAAAGUAAAACUACCUCCUGGCCAUGACUGUAAUAUGCUAGAUUUCUGGAGCCCUUUAGAAAAAUGGGCUCCUACCGGGCACGGUGGCUCACGCCUGUAAUCCCAG